rnacentral:rRNA from 1 species
ACAGCAGUCGCCGCGGGAAUACGGAGGGUGCAAGCGUUAAUCGGAAUUACUGGGCGUAAAGCGCACGCAGGCGGUCUGACAAGUCAGAUGUGAAAUCCCCGGGCUUAACCUGGGAACUGCAUUUGAAACUGUCAGGCUGGAGUCUUGUAGAGGGGGGUAGAAUUCCAGGUGUAGCGGUGAAAUGCGUAGAGAUCUGGAGGAAUACCGGUGGCGAAGGCGGCCCCCUGGACAAAGACUGACGCUCAGGUGCGAAAGCGUGGGGAGCAAACAGGAUUAGAUACCCCAGUAGUCCCUGUCUCUUAUAC